rnacentral:rRNA from 1 species
GAUGAACGCUGGCGGCGUGCCUAAUACAUGCAAGUCGAGCGAACAUCAGAGAAGCUUGCUUCUCUGAUGUUAGCGGCGGACGGGUGAGUAACACGUGAGUAACCUACCUAUAAGACUGGGAUAACUCCGGGAAACCGGGGCUAAUACCGGAUAAUAUUUUGAACCGCAUGGUUCGAUAGUGAAAGACGGUUUCGGCUGUCACUUAUAGAUGGACCCGCGCCGUAUUAGCUAGUUGGUAAGGUAACGGCUUACCAAGGCGACGAUACGUAGCCGACCUGAGAGGGUGAUCGGCCACACUGGAACUGAGACACGGUCCAGACUCCUACGGGAGGCAGCAGUAGGGAAUCUUCCGCAAUGGGCGAAAGCCUGACGGAGCAACGCCGCGUGAGUGAUGAAGGUCUUCGGAUCGUAAAACUCUGUUGUUAGGGAAGAACAAAUUUGUUAGUAACUGAACAAGUCUUGACGGUACCUAACCAGAAAGCCACGGCUAACUACGUGCCAGCCGCCGCCGUAA